CUAGAUAAGUAGGAAAGGUGAACUGAUACAAUUAAGGUCAAUUAAGAGGGCUUACAAUGUCGUGGGAUAGUUAUAUAGACAACCUUAUAACUAGGUCAAUAGAUGCUUUUGGUAUUUGUCACGUCGACAAAGCAUGUAUUAUAGGAAUAAAUGGUCAACUCUGGACGACUGCUGGUAAUGCAAAUGCGAUAAAGUUAAAACAAGACGAAGCAUAUCAUAUUUCGAACUGCUUCAAAGCAAAGGAUUUUUCUCUAUUUAUUACAUGUGGUAUUGUAGCUGAAGGUCGUAAAUACUUCUUCUUGAAGGAAGACGAUCGGAAAAUAGUUUACGCCAAACUGAAAAAUCAUGGUUCAUUGACAUUUCAGUGUUGUGAGACCAGUAUAGUUAUUGCUCAUACUGAAGAAGGAGGUCAGCUAGGCACUACAAAUAAAGCUGUAUAUGCUAUUGCGAAGUAUUUGGAGUCGUUGAAUUUUUAGUUAAUUUGUUUUCUGUAUACGAAUCAUCAAACACAUUUGAAGAUUUUCUAUACUAUAGUUUAAACGGUUACUUCUUAAAACAGUUAGCAUAUACUCAUUUUUACUUGAAUAGAUAUUUAUA